rnacentral:rRNA from 1 species
AUUGAACGCUGGCGGCAUGCUUUACACAUGCAAGUCGAACGGUAACAGGCCGCAAGGUGCUGACGAGUGGCGAACGGGUGAGUAAUGCAUCGGAACGUGCCCAGUCGUGGGGGAUAACUACUCGAAAGAGUAGCUAAUACCGCAUACGAUCUAUGGAUGAAAGCGGGGGACCGUAAGGCCUCGCGCGAUUGGAGCGGCCGAUGUCGGAUUAGGUAGUUGGUGGGGUAAAGGCUCACCAAGCCAACGAUCUGUAGCUGGUCUGAGAGGACGACCAGCCACACUGGGACUGGGACACGGCCCAGACUCCUACGGGAGGCAGCAGUGGGGAAUUUUGGACAAUGGGCGCAAGCCUGAUCCAGCAAUGCCGCGUGCAGGAAGAAGGCCUUCGGGUUGUAAACUGCUUUUGUACGGAACGAAACGGCUCUGGUUAAUACCCGGGGCUAAUGACGGUACCGUAAGAAUAAGCACCGGCUAACUACGUG